GCCGUAUCGGAUAGAUCGGGAUACUCAUCAAAUUAUUUCGAAAACCGAGAAUACUUCUCCUGCCAAUGGCGGGCCACAUCCGUAAGGAAAGCUGUUUCAGCCGGUGGAUUACAAAGGCGGAAAGCUCUCAAAUCAUCUGAAAACGGAGUUUUCAUCACAUCACCGGUACGGCCUUUUU
rnacentral:sRNA from 1 species